AUCGCUUCUCAGCCUUUUGGCUAAGAUCAAGUGUAGUGUGUGUAGUAUGAAUUCUAUACUAAUAAUGGUCUCAGACUUAUGGCUUACCCCCAAGAUUUAUUGAGAAAUUAUUUCAUCGGCUAAGCUGAUGUAAAGGUACUAUAUACUUGUCAUUAAUUUACUCACUUGCAAAAUUAAGAUAUU
rnacentral:snRNA from 1 species